AGUAACACAUGCCCAUAAACAAAUGGAUACUUUUGUAUGUGCAAAGUCCGAUCUCUAUAAUAUUCGAUUUAUGCGUAUCAUAUUUGUUUAUUUUACUAAAAAAGCCUAUAAUAUAUCGUUCAUUUCAAAUUUCAGCCAAAUCGGUUCAGUAAUUUCGAUGUGAAGGAGUAACAAACAUACACACUGACACACACAAACUCUAUACAGGGUGCUCGGGAGUAUUUUCCAUAUCUUCAAGGUGUUAACAACUCCACUUAUAGGAGCCGAAGUGCAUAAUCAAUUAUUUUAAUAAAAAAAAAACUUUUUAUGUUUUUAUGAAAAAGUAAUUUAAAAAUAAUUUCGACUAUCCAUAACACACGCCUUUAUCUAUCCUCGCAUUUUAAAAUAUGUAAUCGUAGUGGUAAGACUGUCGAUAUCGACGAGAUAUUUGACUGGGACGCCGAACUUCACUAGUAAACUACUUCAUGAUAUUUAUCAAUGAAUAAGUUUGACUAGAUCAUUAUAUAAAGGAUGCGAUGUAAGGGACACAAUUUAAGAUCUAUUUACAAAAGAAAUAUUUUUUCACUCCGAAAAUAUUCAUUUUACGUGUUCCUUAGACAUUUUAAAUUAAUUUUCCUUAAAGAAACCCUAGAGUUAUUGGGUUUUUUUCAUAAUUUUAAUUUCCUUUUCCUCAAAUAGAAUAACUGUACCAUCUAAGCUAAGACUUAAUUUAUUAAAUUAGUUCAAAAAGCCUUACAAUAGAUGACAACUGAAUCUAUCAUUUAUGACAUAUGACUAUCAUUUGUCAAUUGUAAUUUUCACAAUAUCUGCUUGUUUAUAACAAUGCAUCAUUUUGUAUCCAUCAUUCCUAUAAUCCAACGUCCUUAUUGGAAUCAACGCUUUCAAUUAAGGCCAUCUGUAUAUCAUUAAUCACUGAUGAAAUGAGAUAUUGGGAACAAACUAGAAAUUUGUAUUUAGGGACUUCAAGACCGGUCGGUAUGAGUUCACAUUUUCUGGGUACUUGUUCUACGUUCUUUACACUACGUACUUGUACGUAAGAAAUAAAUAAUUGCUUUAGUUACGUCUUUGUCGCAUGCAGCUAGUUAAGGUCGCCAUUGACGGUCAAUUAUUCUCACGUUUCUGAAAAGAAAACGGCAGUACCCACGCGGCAUACUAUACAAGUCAUGUACGCAGUGACCAACACACGAUUAAUUAUAGUCGUAGGUGCUACAGAAACGUGAGAAUAAUUGACCGUUUGUGGCUAGCAUUAGAAACACGUCACAUUUGUAACAUUUAGGCUCCAUUUUUUAUUCAAUUAUUGCCGAAUUUGUGGCUACCAAAGAAUAUAACUAUAAAGCGCUUAAACUAUUCGUAGCGCGUGGCUAUACUGUUCAAUUGCUCGAGCAAGAGAUGUCAGGUAAAAGAAUAAUCUGUAAUAAGCACAAAACAUUCUAAUAUUAGAAUGAAAUGAACCUUAUUCAGUUUGAUUAAAAGCAUUAGUGGUUCUGCACCUAGCUACUACCGAAAAGUAUUUAUUAUAAACAAGAUUUUAGUGUGUGGUUUCAAAAUAAAUACUAAGCCGAAACCUAGUUCAUACCCAUUUAAGGUUACGUAGUCAAUGAAGAUUUUACUACAGCUUUCUAGCACUAUUAGGAGUCUCUGAGCCAAACCGCGGACAGACGGAAAACUUUGUUGACUACGGAAACGAAAACACGGCUUUUAUUCUUUAAAAAAAAUUUACUAUAAUAAUUAAAACGCCUUAACCUAGCAGUAUUUUUAUUGACCCACGGAAUACCAAGCGAUUGAUGAUUUAGAUGAAAACAACCCAUAACCCGUCAGAGACUCGGAAUGCGUCAUCAUUAACAACCAUAUGCGGCUCACUACUGACCACGAGUCUUCUCUCAGAAUGAAAGGGUUUAGGCCAAUAGUCCACCACGUUGGCCCAAUGCGGAUUGGCAGACUUCACACACGGAAAAAAUUAAGAAAAUUCUCAGAUAUGCCGGUUACCUGACGAUGUUGGUCCUUCACACGUGAUAUUUAAUUUCUUAAAAUGUCCAACUGAAAAGUUGGAGGUGCAUACUCCGGACCGGAUUCGAACAUACGCCCGCCGAAAUCGGAGGCAGAGGUCAUAUCCAGUGGGCUAUCACGGAGUGCGUAGGUGUGUUCAAUGUUGUGGGCGUCGGGAGAGUAGGUGUAGGUAGGUGUUCGAUACAGGUGGGUUGCAAAAAGCUGGGCUGUAAUAAAGUUUCGCGUUUUACUCUGGUAGGGCGACAUUUCCGGUUGGAGGGCUUUGAUAAAUUUAAUUUUGUCACAGUUUUUGCAAUAUGCAGUACCUACGCCUGUUCACCGCGUAGGUACAAUUUCUAUGUUUAACUACACUCGUACAUAAAAUUAAAAAUUUUGAAAAUCCCCUGAGGGCAAUGAUAUUUUAUACUAUAGAUGUGUUACGUGCCUAUAAAAUCACCGCAAAAAGUGAUAUUAGCUACUCCAUACUUACGCACACAUGCACAAUUUUGUGUUUACUUACGUUAUAAUAUAUCUAGUACUAGCGGACGCCCGCGACUUCGUCCGCGUAAAAAUCGAUGUCAACUUUUCCCCCUAUUUCACUUUCUAUUUUGCAAAUAGUCCACUUAUCAUUUUACAUUUACAAAUGUACCUAGAAAAAUUAAGGACUUUCCGUACAAACUUUCUACCCCUACUUCACCCAUUUCUGAUUGUGUUUUCGCGACAAAAAGUAUCCUAUUAUCCUUCUACGUAUUAUGGUCUCGUCUUAAGUAUCAUUUGAAUUCAUUCUGUAGUUUCAACGUGAUGCCCGGUCAAAAAAAGGCAAACAGACAGACAAAAAAUAGAAAAUAGGCUUCAGUAUCGAUCUCCUACCUCUACCCUACUCCUACCCUACCCGUACCCUAACUGUAUCUUACCCCUACCCUACCCGUACCCUACCCUACCCGUACCCUACCCUACCCGUAAUCUUCCCUUUCCCUACCCCUAGGAUAGGAGUAGGCCCUACCCCUAACCUAGGCAUACACUCCCCUACCCUGCCCUACCCCACCCUACCCCUACCCUACCUUUACCCCUACCCUACCCUUACACAACCCCUACCCUACCUGUACCCUACCCUACCCUACCCUAUACCUUCCCUACCUUACCCCUACCCUUAGCAAAAUCGGUCCAGCCCUAUGAGCGUGGUGCGAUGACAAAGGAAAAUAGAGACUUCUAUGCUAAAAUUAUAAUCUUUGGAUCUACUGGACCGAUUUGAAAGAUUGUUUUACCAAUAGAAAGCUACGGUAUUUGCGAGUGUCAUAGGCUAUGUUUGAUUCCCAUAUUCACACAGGAACGGGAACUACGUACCUAGUUGAAAGCGCGGGGCGUCAUGUAGCGGAAUUUCUGCGUCUUUUAGAAAUUCUGUGUUAUCUCCGAAACUAUUUAACUUAUUAACAUACUAUAAAGGGCAAAUCUUAUCUCCAUAAUAUCCUUGUGAUUAUUAAAUAAUUUAUUUUGAUAAGGAUUUAAGUUAAGUAGCAUAAAUAAUGACGCAAACCUAAGUAUAUAAAAUUUAUAAUUUUUAAAACACAAAAGGUACUAUAUCUGCUAAUAUAUAGAAGAUAGAUAUAUGGUGUCGCGGACUUUUAUGUAGAAUUUUGAAAGAUACAUAAAGCCUUCAUACAUUAAUUUCAAUUUUACACAAUGGUUAAGGCAGCGCAUGCGAAUAAGUCUGCUUAAGAGGAUUUUCAGUCCGACCUGUAUGACAAAAACUGUGUUAACUCGGCGAAUAUAUAUCAUACUAUAAUGUAGCAUAGCCGAUAAUGUAGCAUUCUACUGGUGAAAGAAUUUUUGAAAUCGGACCAGUAGUUCCGAAGAUUACCCCGUUUAAAAAAUGUGACAAACUUACAAACUUUACCUCUUUAUAAUAUUAGUAUAGAUAAGUAUAUAUUUUAUACACUUCUACUCGACAUUCAAAAUUAAAAUCAAAUUAAGACAAUUAGUCGCUUUUGUUCGUUUCAGUUUCGACGCGCUAGUGACAACCUUUAUUUUUACGGCUGUGUAAAAAGAGACACAAUUUAUUUACCCUCUUUCAAAUUCUUAUUGAUCGUAUGGGUGAAAGUAAUAUACUGCGUAACCAUACUAUAUCCUAUAAUUUAUGUUGUAUUCUAUUUUGAAUUAUGCAUGUCUUUGUAAUCUAUUUAUCUCGACCUACAUUAGUUCAUUAAGAAGCAAUUGUGAUUAAAUAGGUUGAUGUACUAAAUAGGUUAAUGUACUAAAGAUUUUGAUUGGCAAUUAUUCUGUAACUGCAGAAAUUUGUAGGUACCUAUAGCCAUCCAUACUAAUAUUAUAAAUGUGAAUUACUCUGUCUUGCUGUAACCUUUUAAUGGCACUGAACUGAUUAAGAUGAGUUAGAAAAAUGAUUGGAGAAGAAAUAAUUUUCAUAUAUUUCGUAGUAGGGUUGAAACUUUGUACGAAAGUGUAAAAAAUAUCAUGUGAUACUUAAUUACUUUCCAUAAUUUUUUUUCUAUUAAUUAUUUUUUCUUUUUAAAGAGUAUUUGUCAUAUUUUUAAAUAUUUCCCUCCAACUGGUCGGAAAAUACUGUGUUUAGGAGUGGGUACGACAAUUGACCAGUGGGCGGGGAUUGAACCACGAUCUCUCGGUAUUGAGGUUUCGUUGGUUAGGUUGGUAGGUUGACUUAAAUAGGUUCUUUUGAAAGUUUUUGUGAGUUAGUCAAUUAAGAGUUAUAUUCAUGGAAGUCGUAGACUAUUGUUGAAAUUUUGUAAUGAGGUUAAAAAGGGGAUGAAAUUAACCGACUUUCUAGCAGAGGAAAUCGGCGGCGACGGCGUCUGGAAGUUAACAUAUUUCAGGUUUAAUUCUUUAACGAUCAUUAUCAGAGAAUAAAUUAUUUAACCUGCUCUCCGAGACGACUGACAAGGUUAUCAAUUAUUGUUAACUUUGAAGAUUGUUCUGAGGAUUUUUCCAAAUUUGGUCUUGGUGUUGUUGAUUGCCUUACUUUUGGUGACAUAACGCCAUUUGAAGCUAUCAGCAGGCUGAUUAUGUAUCUCGACGUAUCACUUCUAACUGUGUAACGCAAAGCUAAAUUGAACACUAGAGUGUUUUUGCAAUUCCGAUUAUGUAAGACAAAAGACAGCCACAAUGCCUAGUGAUAUCGUUCUAGGCGCAAAAUUUUAUCGACAUUAUGCGACUAAAUAAAAUACACCCUUUCCCGGUACUACUUACUACGGGUGCGGCAUACUUUUGCACAUAUACGCAUUAUACUUGAUUUUGCUGUUUGUCUGUGGUGAAGUGAAGUGCCAUAGUUUCUUUGUUGGUAAACAAAGCCGUAUUAAAAUAUUAAUAAAAAAAUUGGUUUCGAUGGAUCAAAGUACUUGCUACUGCUAGUUUUUUGUUUUCAAUAGAAGUAAUUAAUUAAUCAUUUUAUCGUAUACAUUUUUAUUAGUGUUAAUAGUUAAUUUAUCAAAGUAAACGGCCACUUUUACAUAAAACAUUAUCUACACGAAAGUUCUUCAAAGUUUUAUCGUCUGCCUAUGAUUAAUUUAAUGGUCGUUGUGAUAAUAUGUAAAGUAUACUGUAUAGUGUUAAGUUCAUCGCUUGCAACUAAAGAUGUCCGGGAAACUCAAUGAUCGCCUUGGCUUGGAUCAAACUUGGCGAUGGGUUGUUUUGGAGGGCCGUUGGAAAGUCAGGCUACUAAAUAAACCUUCCGUGUUCGCGUCUGCCAGUGGCGUUGUAUCAACAUGAAGAUGUGGGCUCUAAACUUUGAGUGCCAGGGACUGACUAUGGAAGUCUCCAUGUCGCUGGUCACCAUUGAGGUGCAAAACACCUUGAAAAAAUUGGUGAUUCUGAAUCCUUCAUCUCUAUGAACGAUUCAUGAAGAAAGAAUUAAACAAACAUUUAAUGAACAGAUUUUUUAUAAGAUUAUUAUCAAUAAUGACAUUGCAUAUGAGAGAAAAUUGUCAAAUAUAAUUUCAUUUUAAUUUAAUAUAGUUAAUUAUGACAUCACUGUAUAUAAAGAAUAUGAUUAUUAUCAUUUGGUUAAUUUCAGUAUUACAUAGUAUUAGAUAAAAAUUUUAUUGUAAAAUUGCACAUCAAAAUAUGUUUUAUUAUCUAUUAUUAGGAGGAAAUAUUAUUUAACUAUUAUUAUUAUCCCUGAUAGCCCAGUGAAUGUGACCUCUGCCUCCAAUUCCGGAGGGUGUGAGUUCGACCCCGUUCCGGGGCACGCACCUCCAACUUUUCAGUUGUGUGCAUUUUAAGAAACUAAAUAUCACGUGUCUCAAACAGUGAAGGAAAACAUCGUGAGGAAACCUGCAUACCAGAGAAUUCUCUUAAUUCUCUGCAUAUGUGAUGUCUGCCAAUGUAAUCCAAAUAUGCUGGCCCAUAUUCGGCUCCUGUCAGAAUGAGAGGGGUUAGGCAUUGGCCUUCCCUUACCUUAUCAGCCGAUAGACGUCCACUGCUGGACAUAGGCCUCUUACAUGGACCUCCAAGCACAACGACCUUGAGCCGCGAACAUCCAACCAACCGACCAACCACGCUUUCCAGUGCGGGGUCUCCCGAGUGCGGGUAGGCACUAACCCCUCUUACUGGGGGAGACUCGAGCUCAGCAGUGAGCCGAAUAUGUGUUUAUAAUGAUGAUGAUGAUGAUGAUGAUGAUGAUGAUGAUGAUGAUGAUGAUUAUUUAAGUAAUUGUAAAAGAAAAAAUUGAAUACUACAUUAGUUGUUUAUCUAUACAAUUCAAUAAUUUUAAGAACAAAACAUGUACCUACCACAUUGUAGGAAAUAAAUAAAUAAUGAUUUGAUUAAAAACAAUGUUGUUUAAUGUUAAGCAGUUAGGGCCAGGUAGUUCUAUAUUUGUGUAACAUCUAUUACUUAAAAAUAAAAAAUAUAUUUACUUGUG